rnacentral:rRNA from 1 species
CUUGGAGGCGGAAGGUGUGUGGCCCGACCGUAACCAAUGCCUAAUGCAGAAGUGAAACGCCGUAGCGCCGAUGGUAGUGUGGGGUCUCCCCAUGUGAGAGUAGGGAACUGCCAGGC